rnacentral:rRNA from 1 species
UUCUCGGCGGGGACCCAAGUACCCCUGGUGGGUGUGCUCGGGCCCGGCCAUCCUUCUGUAAACUUUCGCGCGUCCUUCACCGGUCGGCAAAGGGAUCAGAUAAUUUACCUUGAGAAAAUUAGAGUGUUUCAGGCAGGCUUAGCCGGAAUACAUUAGCAUGGAAUAAUGGAAUAGGACUGAGGUCUCGUUGUUGGUUACGCGGACUACAGUAAUGAUUAAUAGGGACAGUUGGGGGCAUUAGUAUUUAAUAGCUAGAGGUGGAAUUCUCUAAUUUGUUAAAGACUAACUUAUGCGAAAGCAUUUGCCAAGGAUGUUUUCAUUAAUCAAGAACGAAAGUUAGGGGAUCAAAGACGAUCAGAUACCGUCCUAGUCUUAACCAUAAACUAUGCCGACUCGGGAUCGGGAGCGUGUGUUAUCCGCUUUCGGCACCGUAUGAGAAAUCAAAGUCUUUGGGUUCUGGGGGGAGUAUAGUCGCAAGGCUGAAACUUAAAGGAAUUGACGGAAGGGCACCACCAGGCGUGGAGCUUGCGGCUCAAUUUGACUCAACACGGGAAAACUUACCAGGUCCAGACAUAGUAAGGAUUGACAGAUUGAUAGCUCUUUCCCUGAUCUAUGG